GGCCAGAUAGUGUAAUGGUAGCACACCAGUCUACCAUCCGCCAGCUUGUAGAACUGCCGUUGCCUGGCUCCUGGGCAGACGAAUCUACCAGUUCGAUGGCAGGCUGGGACCACUGGAAGAUAUGAGUUCGAGUCUCAAUCUGGUCA
rnacentral:tRNA from 1 species